CGACAUAUCAACGACAUGGACUAGUGGCAAUUAGGUUGCCAUGGUGGAUGUCAUCUCACCUGGUUUGAUUUCCUAUUCUCUUCUUUUUGUUUUCUUUUCCUUAGAACUUGUUCUCUUUCUUUUUGUUUUCUUUUUUUUUAUAACUUAAAACUUCAAGAAAUGUAGAAAGCUUUAUUUUGUAAAAUCUAAUCCUGCUCUAUUUUUGAUUUUGUGUUUGUUCCAUUUUUGAUUUUUUGUUUGUUUCAUUUUCGAAAUAUCAACAACAUUAAUAUAAGGCUACGCUUGUAUAACAAAUGUCAAGCUAGCCUCUUUGCCGGAGUUUGAAGAACUCCCUUUUGCAUCUCCGCCGCAAUAAGAUCCGUAGCUAUUGCUCUCAUUCCCUGGCUUAUCCAUUUCAGCAAGCUCUUUCCUAGAUCUCUUCAUCCAAGUGAGUCUCAUUUUGAUGCAAAUACUUCAUAUUUAUCUCUUUUUUCUUUUCCUUUUCCAUUUCUUCUUGAAUUAGAAUGAUCUUUUUACUUUUCAUGUUACUGGACUAGCAUCUCUUGAAUUGUUAUUGUUGGAUUUUGAGAUACUAGUAGAUUUUUUUUGGAAUUUUCCUUCUCCUGGUGCUGGUUUUGGGUUUG
rnacentral:lncRNA from 1 species